CAACCCGUUCCUGUGAUAUUGUGGUACCCGGCUGAUGCUGAUGGAGUGAGGAAGAGGAUUUUUGACAGGAAGGCUAAAACAAUCGUUCGGCAGAAGAAUCCGCAAGCGCAUUCCGAACAUAGAACCGACACGACCCAGAAUUAAUGUUUGAGGACCAUAUAAAAGACUAUUUGAACCAUCAAAAGACUUCAAGAUGAACGUUGCCGAAGUACUUGGAGAGAAACUUUUGAAGACGGCACUCGUAGAGACGGUGAUAAAACAGCCCAUCUAGGGGCUGAGAAUGACCUCUUGACUAUAGGAGCGUAAAAAGCAAUGCGACAGACAGCGUCAGUGCAUCGAAGUGGAAAUGUCUCGUCAUGAAGCGGAUGAACGACGGCUGGCUGAGGAAGGAGAAUAAAACUGCUGGGCAAACAGAAAGAAUACACAUCCAUUCCGGUUACGCUGUUUGGAACCUGAGAAACCACGAUUCUGGCAACGAGCUGACUGACGAAAAAACAGUACCGGAAGUUGGAUACACAGGAAAGUUUCAGUUUAAUUA